AGAGCGAACGCUGGCGGCAGGCCUAACACAUGCAAGUCGAACGAACUCUUCGGAGUUAGUGGCGGACGGGUGAGUAACACGUGGGAACGUGCCUUUUGGUUCGGAAUAACUCAGGGAAACUUGUGCUAAUACCGAAUGUGCCCUUCGGGGGAAAGAUUUAUCGCCAUUAGAGCGGCCCGCGUCUGAUUAGCUUGUUGGUGAGGUAAUGGCUCACCAAGGCUACGAUCAGUAGCUGGUCUGAGAGGAUGACCAGCCACAUUGGACUGAGACACGGCCCAAACUCCUACGGGAGCAGCAGUGGGGAAUCGUGCGCAAGUGGGCGAAAGCCUGACGCAGCCAUGCCGCGUGUAGUGAUGGAGGUCUUAGAUUAGUAAAUUACUUUACGACCGGUAGAAGUAUAA
rnacentral:rRNA from 1 species